UGGGGAAUAUUGGACAAUGGGCGAAAGCCUGAUCCAGCCAUGCCGCGUGUGUGAAGAAGGUCUUCGGAUUGUAAAGCACUUUAAGUUGGGAGGAAGGGCAGUAAGCGAAUACCUUUCUGUUUUGACGUUACCGACAGAAUAAGCACCGGCUAACUCUGUUCCAGCAGCCGCGGUAAUACAGAGGGUGCAAGCGUUAAUCGGAAUUACUGGGCGUAAAGCGCGCGUAGGUGGUUCGUUAAGUUGAAUGUGAAAGCCCCGGGCUCAACCUGGGAACUGCAUCCAAAACAGGCGAGCUAGAGUAGGGCAGAGGGUGGUGGAAUUGCCUGUGUAGCGGUGAAAUGCGUAGAUAUAGGAAGGAACACCAGUGGCGAAGGCGACCACCUGGGCUCAUACUGACACUGAGGUGCGAAAGCGUGGGGAGCAAACAGG
rnacentral:rRNA from 1 species